UACGGAGGGUGCGAGCGUUGUCCGGAAUCAUUGGGCGUAAAGCGCGCGUAGGCGGAUCAUGCAAGUCAGGGGUGAAAUCCCGGGGCUCAACCCUGGAAUGGCCUUUGAGACUGCUGGUCUUGAGUUCGAGAGAGGUGAGUGGAAUUCCGAGUGUAGAGGUGAAAUUCGUAGAUAUUCGGAGGAACACCAGUGGCGAAGGCGGCUCACUGGCUCGACACUGACGCUGAGGUGCGAAAGCGUGGGGAGCAAACAGG
rnacentral:rRNA from 1 species